rnacentral:rRNA from 1 species
GAUGAACGCUAGCGGCAGGCCUAAUACAUGCAAGUCGAACGGUGUCUUCGGACAUAGUGGCGCACGGGUGCGUAACACGUAUGCAACCUACCUUACAUUGGGGGAUAGCCUUUCGAAAGGGAGAUUAAUACCGCAUAAGACAGUAGCUGGGCAUCCAGCAGCUGUUAAAGAUUUAUCGAUGUAAGCUGGGCAUGCGUCCAUUUAGCUAGUUGGUGGGGUAACGGCACACCAAGGCAAUGAUUGGUAGGGGAACUGAGAGGUCAAUCCCCCACAUUGGCACGGAGAAAGGAGCCAGACGCCUAGGGGAGGCAGCAGUAGGGAUUAUUGGGAAAUGGAGGCAAGUCUGACCCAGCCAGGCCGCGUGCAGAAUGAAGGCGUUAGGGGUUGUAAACUGUUUUUAUACAGGAAGAAACUACUCUUGCGAGAGGCAUUGACGGUACCGUAUGAAUAAGCACCGGCUAACUCCGUGCCAGCAGCCGCCGUAA